ACCAAUCUUUUGCUGGUGACAAAGUCUUCAAACCAAUUUAAGUUAAAAGUGGUGUAUCUACAGGAUUUCGGACGUGGACUGAGCCAUGGCCUUAUACUCGAAUUUUCUACUGGAUUGAGAUACAACACUUUGUUUCCUUCUCCUCCAUGAUACAAGGUCCCUCCAACAAAGACACAAUAGCCUGUAGUAGAUCUUCUGUCAGUUUUGAUUCAGCCCAAUUCGCAUCUGUAAACACACAAUAUUAUCACGUUCGUGGUCACUA
rnacentral:lncRNA from 1 species